GUAGGUGAACCUGCGGAAGGAUCAUUACAACGUAUCCACGUAUCAACCAAAUGUGAACCUCCCAUCCGGAGCAAAACUUAGUGUGUCGCUAAUGGCCGAGCUGUAAAGUGACGCUUCCACAGAUGGAGAGUUUGGAUCUAAUCGUCCGACCUCUUGGAAGUGUCCGUUCGGUCGUCAGUUCGCUUGCGAACUGAGGCGUCCUUUUGCUUCAGAUGCGGUAUAAAUGUCCGUCCAUCUGCGGUCGCCAAUU
rnacentral:misc_RNA from 1 species